AAGCGAGAUCGGCGCACGAUGACGGGGUAAGUCAGGGGGGGGAGGUGUUAAUCGGUGUUAGUGGUCGUAAGGCUGGCGUAGGCGGGUGAUGAGGUCGGAUCGGAAAGCCCUGAGCUAAACUUAGGAAUUGGAUUCGAUACUGGUAAGCUAGAGUAUGGAAGAGGAUGGUAGGAUUCCAGGUGUAGCGGUGAAAUGCGUAGAGAUCUGGAGGAAUACCGAUGGCGAAGGCAGCCAUCUGGCCUAAUACUGACGCUGAGGUACGAAAGCAUGGGGAGCAAACAGGAUUAGAUACCCGGGAGUC
rnacentral:rRNA from 1 species